CUGGGAUUGGAUAAACAUUAUCACUUUCUUAGUGGGCAACUCUUGAGCUUUUAUUGCAUAUCUUUUCGGCUUAAGUUGAAUGUCUCAAGGAGAAAUUAUAUCCUAUAUGGUGUGCACCAUGUGGCUGUGUAUAUCGAUAAAUACAGCCAUUUGUUCAUACAAAAGUGCACCAAGGUGGGUGCUUAAUAAUUGGAGCCUAUUGGAAUGAGUGAUUGCUAUUGACAAUGUG
rnacentral:lncRNA from 1 species